rnacentral:lncRNA from 1 species
GCCUCGCUCUGCGCCGCCGCAGCCGUCGAGCCUCGCUCUGCACCUCCGCUCCCCUUUAUGUCUCCCAUCCAAUACCGACUCAUAACAAAGCCCUUGGAGCCUUCCUGGUCCUUCCGCUUCUUGGCGUCCACUGAGCGCCGGCCACGUUGGCCUCGCCCGCAGCCCACUGGCUCUCGUCCGGGUUUUGCGGUCCUGAUGCUGGCAGGACAAAGCUGAGGGACAUUCAUCAUGAAUGCAGCGCCCCCGAAAGGGACUUCUUAGCCCUAAAGGGCUCAGCCUCGGGCUGCUGUUCACAGCCGGCAGCAGGCUGGGAGAAGUUAUGAAGAAAUAGAUCAACUGAGAUCUUGAGUUCCAAGAGGGAGAGAUUCUCCUUAAUCUGCAUUUCAUUAACCAAUCAGCUCCUGAUACCAGAAGGAGGCUGUAAGCCUUGGGAUUUGGACCCCAAACUCCCACCUCCCACCUCCUCUAAGGGAUUUAACAGCAGAGAUUUGGCUCAGGCUGAGGAGGAGGAGGACCAUAAGGUUCCUGCCCAUUACAAGGAACAUGCACUGUUCCCUGAAGAUGCCACGUCCAACCAAGACCCUUCUGGUGGAGGCAUAAUGCUGUUUCAGCAGGAGAGCCCCCUCCCACCAUCUUGCUGUUGGUUUUUGACUCCUGUUGUUUUGAGGCACUUUUCAAAGAUCAUCAGAGGGGUUUCAGCUUUUGCUGCCAGCUUGUCUCUGCCAAUUGGCAGAGACAUAAUGACCAGAAUGGGAACAUCUUUUCCCCCCCUUCCACCUGUUAAGCUUUUGCUCCUCCCUUCUGGCCCCGCUUCUAAACCUAAUCAUGUCCCCUCUGAAGACUGAGACUUACCUGUCUUUGAGAUCUGGGAUAUGGGAGUCACUGGGAAAGCCCCCCACGCGGAGCCAGUCAAAGAUCCCCUUAACUGUCUCCACAGGAAGCAAUACCCCAUUAACCUGAAAGAAAGAAGGGAUCUCUAGCUCCUGACUGACCGAUUUCUUCAUGAUGGGCUUUUAACUUCUUGCCAAUUGCCCUGCAAUUCACCAGUCCUUCUGAUAAAGAAAUCAGUUGAGGAGUAUUGGAAGGUACAAGACCUUGGGGCAGUUAACAAGGCAGGUGUCCCUGUACAUCCCAUAGUUCCUAAUCCUUCCACCAUCCUGGCUUAAAUCCUUGGUAACACUCUCCGGCUCUCUGUUCUGGACCAACAAGAUGUUUUCUUUUGCACUUCUCUCAGUCAGGACUAUCAGUUUAUUUUUGCUUUUGAAUGGGCUUUACCCUCUGAACCUCUGCCCCAGCAUAUACAUGGACUAUAUUUCCCCAAGAAUUCAGGGAUUUGGGGGGGACUGCUCUCAGUAAAGACCUGAAGGAUCAUUUAAAUAAGAGUGUUAUCAUUCUGUAGGUAAAUGAUCUUUUACUCUGGAACCCUGAUCUUAAGACAUCCCACUAAGGCACUGUUAAAACCUUACAUUGCUUGGUGGUACCAGGUUUCAUUAAAGAAAGCCCAGAUCUCUCAGUAGCAAGUAAAGUACCCUGGCCAUGGGUUAACACCUAUCUGUCGGUCCUUAGUCCCCAACAGGAAGCAAGCUAUCCUUUCCAUUCCUCACCCAGUGUAAGGGUUAAAAAUUAAAGGGUUGGACUAAAUAUAUGAGUGUGGUCGCCAAAAUUAUUACUCAAGUCAGGAUGACUUUAUAGCAAUUUAUUUAUAAAAUCAAGGGAAAGAGUAAAAGUAAGGAAAUCAGAGAAAGAGUAGAUAAUUACUCCAGCUCAGCCAGAACCAGGCAGGGCUUCAGAGGCCCCAACAAAGGGGGCCCAGAGGUAAAUUAAACAAGGGUUCUAGCCACGAGG